AGGAGCAUCCACCAUGGCCCGGACCCUUCUUCUUGUCCUCCUGGCUCAGUGCACGGGCUCCCUGUCCCAGCCCGUGCUGACCCAGCUGCCCUUCCUCUCUGUAUCUCUGGGAACAACGGCCAGACUCACCUGCACCCUGAGCAGUGGCUUCAGUGUUGGUGAUUUCUGGAUAGGCUGGUACCAGCAGCUGCCAGGGAGCCCUCCCCGGUAUCUGCUGUACUACCACUCAGACUCAGAUAAACACCAGGGCCCCGGGGUCCCCAGCCGCUUCUCAGGCUCCAAGACGCCUCAGCCAAUGCAGGGCUUCUCCUCAUCUCGGGGCUGCAGGCUGAGGCCAAGGCGGACUAUUACUCUGCUACAUGGCAUGGCAACUCUAAGACUUCCACUGUGCUCCAGACCCAUGAGGAAGUGAGACACAAAGCUGGACUACUGCGCUCUCCUGACCUGGUGCACCACCCACAGCAGGGGUUCUGA